AUUGAACGCUAGCGGGAGGCUUUACACAUGCAAGUCGAACGAGUGGCGGACGGGUGAGUAAUAUAUCGGAACGUGCCCAGUAGCGGGGGAUAACUACUCGAAAGGGUGGCUAAUACCGCAUACUAUUGGAGCGGCCGAUAUCGGAUUAGCUAGUUGGUGAGGUAAAGGCUCACCAAGGCAACGAUCCGUAGCUGGUCUGAGAGGAUGACCAGCCACACUGGGACUGAGACACGGCCCAGACUCCUACGGGAGGCAGCAGUGGGGAAUUUUGGACAAUGGGCGAAACCCUGAUCCAGCCAUCCCGCGUGUAUGAGAAGGCCUUCGGGUUGUAAAGUACUUUUGGUCGAGAAGCGUUAUCUACAGAAUAAGCACCGGCUAACUACGUGCCAGCAGCCGCGGUAAUUC
rnacentral:rRNA from 1 species